AACUUUCCACAGGUAUCUUAAAAGCUUUGCUCACUCAUCCCUUCUCUGACUUAGGAUUUGAGCAUCUUUCUGUUAUGCUGUUGCCCCACUCCUAUUGCAAUACUCCCCUUCUUAAGAAAGUUUUUCUAGACUAAUGUCUAGAUUAAACUUCUUUUCUUUGACAAUAAUGAUGCCAUGACUUGGACAAAAUGCCCAUUGCCUCUGGGUCCUGCUUUCUUCACCCAGUGCUGCCUUAUUGGACUCCUUGUGCCUCUCCUUGGCUGGGGAAAUCAGAAUACACAGUGGUAUCCCACUUCUAAGAUGCCUGAUCUGAAGGACAGUAAAACAACUGACCUUUGCCAGCAUGUAAAACACAUGGUUUAACUAGUCCUCCAGGAACAACACUGAGCAAUCCUGACCUGGGACUACUUUACUCGGCCAUCUCCUACUUGAGAUGCUCCUUGUCUCUCUGUUCAAGGACACCUUUUCUGAGCCUUUCUUGAACAAGAGUGGAGGACCGAUAGGGCGAUUAAACUGUCCUUGACACAACUUUAGCAGCUAGACCAGGAGCUCCCUGCAGGUCAAGACCAUGUGUUCUCUGAUGCUUUCUCAUGGCAAGGGGAGACAUAGGGUUGCAGUAGUGAGUGGGCAUCUGUUCUCAGAAGGCAGUGCCUGGAGCACUAUAAGUACUUAAUAAACUCUUGUGAAAUUAAAAA
rnacentral:lncRNA from 1 species